rnacentral:rRNA from 1 species
UGAGGAAUAUUGGUCAAUGGACGAGAGUCUGAACCAGCCAAGUAGCGUGCAGGACGACGGCCCUAUGGGUUGUAAACUGCUUUUGUACGGGGAUAAAGUGAGCCACGUGUGGUUUAUUGCAGGUACCGUACGAAUAAGGACCGGCUAAUUCCGUGCCAGCAGCCGCGGUAAUACGGAAGGUCCGGGCGUUAUCCGGAUUCAUUGGGUUUAAAGGGAGCGUAGGCCGCCCCUUAAGCGUGUUGUGAAAUGCCGCGGCUCAACCGUGGCACUGCAGCGCGAACU